AGAGUUUGAUCAUGGCUCAGAUUGAACGCUGGCGGCAGGCCUAACACAUGCAAGUCGGACGGUAGCACAGAAGAGCUUGCUCUUCGGGUGACGAGUGGCGGACGGGUGAGUAAUGUCUGGGAAACUGCCUGAUGGAGGGGGAUAACUACUGGAAACGGUAGCUAAUACCGCAUAACCUCGCAAGAGCAAAGUGGGGGACCUUCGGGCCUCACGCCAUCGGAUGUGCCCAGAUGGGAUUAGCUAGUAGGUGGGGUAACGGCUCACCUAGGCGACGAUCCCUAGCUGGUCUGAGAGGAUGACCAGCCACACUGGAACUGAGACACGGUCCAGACUCCUACGGGAGGCAGCAGUGGGGAAUAUUGCACAAUGGGCGUAAGCCUGAUGCAUCCAUGCCGCGUGUAUGAAGAAGGCCUUCGGUUUGUAAAGGACUUUCAGCGGGGAGGAAGGCGGUGAGGUUAAUAACCUUACCGAUUGACUUACCCGCUUAAUAAGCACCUGCUAACUCCGUGCCAUCAGUUGUGUUAAUACC
rnacentral:rRNA from 1 species